rnacentral:rRNA from 1 species
CGGANNGCAGCNACGCCGCGUUGCCCGAGGAACGGCCUUCGGGUUGUAAAGGGCUUUUCUGGCUGACGAGGAAGGACGGUAGGCCAGGAAUAAGCGUCGGCUAACUACGUGCCAGCAGCCGCGGUAAAACGUAGGACGCGAGCGUUAUCCGGAUUUACUGGGCGUAAAGCGCGGGCAGGCGGUGGUCCAAGUCGGACGUGAAAGCUCCCGGCUCAACUGGGAGAGGUCGUUCGAAACUGGGCCGCUAGAGGGCAGUAGAGGGGCGUGGAAUUCCGGGUGGAGUGGUGAAAUGCGUAGAGAUCCGGAGGAACACCAGAGGCGAAGGCGGCGCCCUGGGCUGCACCUGACGCUGAGCCGCGAAAGCUAGGGGAGCGAACGGGAUUAGAAACCCCGGUAGUCCUAGCCGUAAACGAUGUCCACUANAUGUCUGGGCGGAGCGCCUGGGCGUCGCAGCUAACGCGUUAAGUGGACCGCCUGGGGAGUACGGCCGCAAGGCUA